AAUCCUUGCUAUCUGGGUGCUAGUGCUAUCUCAAUGCAAUGCACCUGGGCAAGGAUUCA
ensembl:miRNA